CUAACAUCUUGUAGAUGCCAGAGCAGGAGCAGCGCAGAGUGGAACCUAACAUGAAACACUCAUCAGUGGAGGACAGGCAAGAGGCUCAGGUCUGGAGAAGCGGAGCAGAAUGAAGAAUCCUAUUGAUUGCUGAAUCCCGAUUUUACAGCAGGGCGGAGGAAGGUUGACACGGUUCUCAUGGUUACAGGCAGGGGGGCAACGGCUGUGGAGCAACAUGACGGUCAACAUGGCUUUUUUUUCAUCUCUCACUGCAGAAGACAAAUAAUGAGGAGCCUGUGUCCUGGUGUCUCCUCUUGCGUUAGUACGUAUGGAUGUGGCAUCCUGUAG
rnacentral:lncRNA from 1 species